rnacentral:rRNA from 1 species
AGAACGAACGCUGGCGGCGUGGAUAAGACAUGCAAGUCGAACGGAGUAUUUUUGAAGCUUGCUUUAAAAAUGCUUAGUGGCGAACGGGUGAGUAACACGUGAGUUACCUGCCCCGAAGCGGGGGAUAGCCCGAAGAAAUUCGGAUUAAUACCCCAUGUGAUCGAAAGAUUAAAGGUGGCGUAAGCUGUCGCUUCGGGAUGGGCUCGCGGCCUAUCAGCUUGUUGGUGAGGUAAUGGCUCACCAAGGCGAUGACGGGUAGCUGAUCUGAGAGGAUGAUCAGUCACACUGGAACUGAGACACGGUCCAGACACCGUACGGGUGCAGCAGUCGAGAAUCAUUCGCAAGUGGGCGAAAGCCUGACGGUGCGACGCCGCGGUGGAGGAUGGAACGGCCCGUAAGGGUCGUAAACUCCUGUCAUCGAAGGAGUAAGUGGACUCGAUAAUAGUAACUAGAUAGUGGUCUUAGAUAGUAACCUAGGAAGAGGAAGGGACGGAC